UAACUACUACUCGGAUAACCG
rnacentral:siRNA from 1 species